UCAGUGGGAGGUGGUGUACACUGGACCUCAACAGGAACAUGUGUGUGAUGGUUUGGAACCUGGAACUUGGUUUAAACUCAGAGUGUACUGCCAAAGCCAGGGAGGAAAGAGUCAGGUGUCAGAGUGUCUGUCAGUGCAGACUGCACCAGUGCAUCCUGGUCCAUGCCGAGCGCUCCGUGUGUCUGGAGCCAUCACUCCCUCAGAGAUCACACUCAGCUGGGAUGCCCCAGACUGUGAUAGUGGGUCAGACAUGUGUCAGUAUGCAGUGGAGAUGGCUGACUCAGUGGACACGACGCACACACGU